CAGGAAGCCGGAAGUCGGAUUUAACGCUGCUGUCUAUUGGUUUUGAGGCGGAGCUGUGACAGGAAGCCGGAAGUAAAGUACGAAAUUCGCGAUGGCUGUGAGCUGUCGGUGUUGGCUGUCAGUGGAGGGGCUUCGCACCAUGAAAGCUUACGGAAUAGUGCUUCUCCUGUUCUUGGACUUAUGUCUUCCAUCGGUGAAUGGAUACUUAAGUUCCUCCCAUGUUGACCAGGAGCCCCCACGCAGCCCAGAUGCCCAGCAGCAGAGUCCAGUCAUCACAAGCCCAGUGACUCCACUGGUCACCCCCACAUCAGCGACGGAUGUAGAAAAUUACUUGUCCAAGUGUCCAAGUGGGGGACUGUGCCAAAGACUACCUGCUGACUGCAUGAGUUGCACCUACCACCACAACUGUACCUAUGGAAAAGUGGCAUCUUUCUCCUGUAAACCCAAGAGUGGUGUCCACUGUAUAGGGGAGUCAGGCCAGCUGCUGACCAACUUCUCCCUCACCAUUACCUGCCAGUUCUGCUGGCAGCUAGAGCCCUCACAGUAUAAGUGCACCAACUCUACAAGCUGCAUGACAGUAGCCUGUCCUCGCAGGCGCUACAAUGCUAACUGCACCGUGCUUGACCAUGUGCAUUGCCUAGGAAAAAGGGUGUUCAAGAAACGUCUUUUCUGCAACUGGACAGGAGGAUACAAGUGGUCCACAGCCCUGGCCCUCAGCAUCACACUGGGUGGCUUUGGCGCCGACAGGUUUUACCUGGGUCAGUGGAGGGAAGGCCUGGGGAAACUUUUCAGCUUUGGUGGUUUAGGGAUCUGGACUUUGAUUGAUGUGCUGCUCAUUGGAGUGGGCUAUGUGGGACCAGCAGACGGCUCGCUCUACAUCUAGGUUAGCGCCCCACUCACCUCGCUCCCCACAGUUCCCAACUGCCGAGCUAGUCACCUCCACCAACGUGCUUCCAUUCAAUCACGCCCACUGCAGCAGACUCCAGGACCAUCUGCCACAGGAAAACAGGGCCUUAUGGGAGAUUUGUUACAGGGCACCCACUCAUUCCUCAGCAUGGCUUCCUUUUUCACAACGGUUUGGCUUCCCUUACUUUGAAACGAGGAGGUGGAACAAUGUGAAGCUGUUCUGGAGUGGAAUGAGGUGGAUGUGAAUUGGAGGCCACAGGACACUUUUGUAAAGAGUUGAACAACGUGUAUGGGAUAUCUGCUGUGUUCAUCAUUUUGCUCUCCGGCAGCUGAGCUGUUUGGUGUGAAGUGUGUAAAUUGACUUCAGGAAACAUUCCAAAUGAAGAUCUUGGAUGCAAGCUUCCAGUGCACCUUUCCGUGCACCCUUUUCAGCACAGAAGAUGCUUUGCUUGCAGCCCUUCUGCAACGAUUCCAGCUUCUUCUGACAUUUCUCCCUGGGUGGCCCUACCAUUCGUCAACAGUCUUGGUCCGCACCGCCUUGUCCCCCCCAGGCGUGGGAGGGUCACAGCAAGAGAGAAACAUGUCUCUGAUUAGAGGGGAGCUGGGAGCAGAUUUUCACACUGACUCUCCCACAUCCACGCCAUCACACUGUCACGCACAUGUCAUCACACUCAUGUCCUGACCAUCACACACAUUGAGGUCCCCAGUCACAGGAAUGAAAAAUCAGAGGAUACAGAACUGACAGUUUGUAAUGUUACAUCUACUUUUUAUCAGUCCAAAGUUUUGGUUAUAACAUAAAUUCUCUAAGAUACAACCAUUUUACGGAUUAUUAACAUUUUCCAAACUUUUUUCCCGCACCUAACCAUCUUUCAAAAGUCUGUCUCUUGUGGAGUGAAAGUCACCUGCAUUCAGCUCCGUUUUGCAACGUUUACAGCGAGUGCUUGCUGAGUUUGUACAAUCACAAGAUGCAGAAUGCUGCAUGUCGUGAAUCAUUUGUGUGAUGAACCAGUCAACAGCCAGCAUUAAAUAUUAGUCUGUCAAGAGAGUAUAUUCUUGUCAAUUUUUUAAAAUUUUCCUUAAUUUUAGUACAGUUUAGAGUUGAUGAAAAUGCUAAAAUAUAAGUACUUUUGUAUGUUA